CUACAAUUGCGCGGGAACUUGAAGGAUGCGUCGUUGGAUUUGUUCGAGAGACGCUGAAUCGGUGUUUCUUCGUAAGUUUAGUCUGUGGAUGCUUCGUAGUGAAUUCACAGGUUAUCGACGUUACACGCUGCAAAAUCAGCGAUAAUCUCUGGAAGGUGUGGCUUUUCUUUCUUUGUUUCCAUUGGUGGCAAUUUAUUGAAAGAAGUAGGUGAAGUCUAGGUUCCAAGGAAAAACAAGCGAGGGAGGGUGAAAUAAUGGGAUGUAGGGUGUACAUGGGUUGGUUCAAUCCCCUUUUCAGGUGAAAAACUGAGCCAAUCCGGGUGCUUUUGAGUUGUCUAGAGAAAAUUUGGAUGUGUAGUAUGUACUUAUCAUACGGAUGUGCAGCAGGUGAUCGGUUUGCAAGGAGAAUUGAAUUCUGAGAAACUUCGAUCACUGGGAUAGGGGGCUCUGUCUCAAUAUUUUAUGAGGCGCUUGAAAGAGGCAAAACCAUAGGGGAUGAAGAAGAUGCAGUGAGAUGGCCACCGGGAAAGGUUGCUUGACAGUCGAGUCCUUUAACCACUUCUUGAAAACCAAAUUUACUUGGGAGUGUGAGAGUAAUAUGAACAUCGGUUGUGCCAAUGGAUAACUGGUUAGGUAGUUAUUUUCUUUCACCUUGUAGACUGUGGAUGUGAAAAAGAAAUAAUCACCAGAACAUGGAGUUUACAUAAGCUAUUCAGUAGAAUAGAGACAAAAGCACAAGUAGCUGAUUGUCGAUUCCGAAUUCUGAGGCCUUCGCAACUGUUUAGGAUUCUCUUUUUAUUCUUAUGUUUCUGUAACUUUUAUGAAGGAAAAUGACCGAGAAGCUAAAACUCCUGGAUGCUUCUUGAAUGUAUUAGUGAAACUUGAUUAAUGUAGUUUCUCAAAUUAGUUGUUGUUUUUGUUUUAUUGUUAUCAGAGCCAUAUCAGUUUGAGUGUUAGGUGGGAUUUGCAUCUGAAUUACAGGAUGAGUAUGUAUUCAUAAUCAUUACUUGGAAGUUUGGGACCAAUAUAUAACACAGGACUUGCAAAAUCUUGAUCUUAUAGCUAUGAGAUAUGGAUCAUUCCAUUAGUAGCUGAAUGUUGAUACUGAAAUAUUUCUACUGCUGGCGACUUGAUGUUCAUUUUCCCUUGAAUUGCCUGUAUGCAAGUAUGAGAGAAAUUCUGACUCUUAUAACCAUAUUUUUUUUUCCUCCUAACAAGUAACAAGACAUUGCAUUUUUAAUAUAAGGCAAAGCUUGCUUUGGACAGCCUCGAAGUUCCAGUUGGGUAAGGAACUAAUUUUCAAUAACCAGGUGCAUUUCAGAUAUGUUACUUUAUUUUCAGUCUUAAUUUGUAAGUGAUGUCACAUUGUACAUUAUUUAUUUUAUACCUUGAUUGAACAGCUGUGAUUGGUGAGAAACGGUGCCUUAUUGCAGCAGGAAGAAACAGGACUAAUGAGAAAGGGAAUGCAACAAGGUGUGUAGAAAUGGAAGCUCUUGAUGUUCUUCUUGAACAGUGGCAGAGGACUGGAUUUUUGUCUGCAGAAGGUACAGAGAAGUAUUCAGCACGCUCCCUUUAUGUGACGUGAACUAUGCAUAAUGUGUGUAGCAGCAUCAUCAAUCAUUGGUAUAAAGGAAGUAUAUUAUGACUGUGCAAAUGAUAAAUGUGGAGGCUGCAGCUCAAUACUGUUGUUGCAUCAAGUAGCUCUAAGGAAUGAAUUAGGUCAGUUUCUGAACUUGCUUUUAUUGUUAUCGUAUCUGCUUAGCUCCACUUUGAAAUUGUGACAUAUUACAAUUGACAACUAAAGCUUACUGGAGGUUUAUGAAUCUUAUUUUGAUUACUAUUGAUGUAGUUUCGUAGUACUUCCGUUUGUUGUUGUACAUUGAAUAUUGCGACACAUAACCGUGAAAAAUGGAACUAAUUUUCCACCUUUUCUGUCCUCUUCCAUGUCUAAAUUGUAGAAAGUAGAGUUUAGGAAGUGUCAUGAAGUCAAGUUUAUAUUAUUUCUUUCUUUCCCCUCUCUGUUUCCUUUUUUAAAAAAUUCUAUGUGACUUGUUAGACAUUUCCUUUCUUUUUUUGCCAUAAAAAAUUUACUGUUCUGGGAAGUACUACAAGUUACUGUAACAUGGGUUUGUUCUUUCCUCUUCCUUUUUCCAGCUGUCUCUUAAUCUCUUCUUCCUUGCCUUUUUCCACUGCGGUAAGAUUCUUUGAUGUCUGCAAUGUUAUCAAGUUUAAAGUGGGAAAUAUAGCAUCUUCAAAGAAAUAUGAUUUAAGUAUAAGGAAAUUUAUGCUUUCUGAUAUGUCAUGGGCAGUGUUCUCGAUAAAGAAAUCUCUUUCCUUGUUUAUUAGUUCCAAUUGUCUCUUCUUGCAUACAUGAAGGCGUGUGCUUACUAAAUUGGGUGUAUGACAUGUUUUUCCAGUAUGAUUUUUCAUCUCUCGGAUGCUACCAUGAUCUAACAUGUCAUGUUUCCUGAGAUUGUCCAGAAGUCACCAAUUAUUUUAACUCAGAUUUUGUCGACUUAAAAGUUUAAAACAUAGUGAAAUAGGAUCUGUUUCAUUGUAAUUAGAGCAGUACUUAAAGUAGCUAAUAUAGAUUGCGGACAAUGUCUUUUUGUUGAAUUAUUAGUUUUGAAAGAAGAAGCUCAAGUACAGGGAAAUGAGGGAAGGGUUGUGGAGAAGCAAAAGUAUGAAUAAAAAAUUUUAUUGGGGAAAAUAAGCCAGGAAACUCUGAAUUUUAGAGCUAGAAAUUGAUAGUUAUGCUGCUCUUAAUAAUCUGAUUAUCAGGAAGAAGCAAGAGUAUGAGUGAAAAAUUUUAGGGGAAAAAAAUAAGCCAUGAGAACUUGACUUUUAGAGCUAGAGAUUGAUACUUAUGCUGCUCUUAAGAAUCUGAUUAGAAGUCAAAAGUAUUGUAGGAAACAUGAGCUAGCUCAUUGCCUUUCUGAAUACAGCAUCAAGCAAGAGGACGCAUCUUGCAGAUAAAGCACCACCUUGCUCAAAUUCCACCGUGCAUAGCUCAAAAACUAGCCUUAAUUGCUGCAUAGUUUCAUGUUAGAGAGAAUAAGACUAUUGUUAUAACAGUGAGCAUGGGUCAUAUGCAAUGUUUGGAAGAUGUAGCUGAUUGAAACCCAUGCUAGCCAUUAUUAGUAGACAAGUCAUUUGUAAAUCUUCUCUCAAAUCAGAUUCCCAGUGCCAAUAUCUCUCUGAAGAGAACUUGCCUAUCCAUGCUAAAAGCCUUGAAGUAAUCCCCUGUUUACAGCUACUGUUUGUUCUCCAAGGAUGUUAGGUUUAAGCUAUAGCUCCCCCAAACACGCCUCUUUUAAAUAUGAUGCAAUAAGUUUGCCAAGGUGUAGAGCCUAGUUACUGUCAAUGGAAGUAAAUGGUACACUUCAAAGACAAUUUACUUGCCUGAAAACUUGUUUUCUGGAGUACAGACAUUUGUUAAAAUUGAUAUUCUUAAAACCUAAAUGUAAUUUUCCUAAGUUGACCAUUUUCCUU